GAUGAACGCUGGCGGCGUGCCUAAUACAUGCAAGUCGAGCGAACGGACGAGAAGCUUGCUUCUCUGAUGUUAGCGGCGGACGGGUGAGUAACACGUGGAUAACCUACCUAUAAGACUGGGAUAACUUCGGGAAACCGGAGCUAAUACCGGAUAAUAUUUUGAACCGCAUGGUUCAAAAGUGAAGGACGGUCUUGCUGCCACUUAUAGAUGGAUCCGCGCUGCAUUAGCUAGUUGGUAAGGUAACGGCUUACCAAGGCAACGAUGCAUAGCCGACCUGAGAGGGUGAUCGGCCACACUGGAACUGAGACACGGUCCAGACCCCUACGGGAGGCAGCAGUAGGGAAUCCUCCGCAAUGGGCGAAAGCCUGACGGAGCAACGCCGCGUGAGUGAUGAAGGUCUUCGGAUCGUAAAACUCUGUUAUUAGGGAAGAACAUAUGUGUAAGUAACUGUGCACAUCUUGACGGUACCUAAUCAGAAAGCCACGGCUAACUACGUG
rnacentral:rRNA from 1 species